AACGCACGAGACCUGCGGACCUGCGGAAGGAUCAUUACUGAAUGUUACCAAACAUAAACCCUUGUGAACCUUCUGUAUUUCUGCCUUGGCAGGUAAUCCCAGGGCGGGAUUCUGGGCCUCUUCGGGGGCACCUGCCAGCGGUGGAACAUUUUCAUACUCUGAAUUACAGUGGAUUUCUGAGUGUCUUCCAAAAAUAAAUUAAAACUUUCAACAACGGAUCUCUAGAUCGGAAGAGCACAC
rnacentral:misc_RNA from 1 species